GCCCUUCAAUUAUAUUUAAUUUCAGUUUUUUUUAAUCCGACAACCAACCACUUAGUUAACCAACGAAUGUUAUAUCACGGAUGUUGACAUUCGUCUAAGGCGGUAACACAUAUUGACAUUCGUUCAACAUAGAAGUGAUAUAGAAUGAAUGAAUGAACAAUAUGUUCACAGCAUAGCAACAACAAUAUACAAUACUGGAAACCAAACUUAAGCAAAAUCCAACACCCUCUUCAAUACAGGAAACCAAACUUAAACAAAAUCCAACAACAUACAAAAUCUAACUGUAUGUUCACAACACCUAAACAACAACAACGAAAUACAACUUGGUAUCCAGCCACAAAACAUCCACGAACGAAAGAUACACCCCUCUGCAAACGAACAAGGCACUCCUCUCACUGGAUAGAAGAACCGAAAAUGGAAAAUGAAUUCCAACAGAAGAAGACAAUGAGAAGAAGGAAGGGAAAGAGAGAACGUUGAUCAGAGUGGGGUGGAGUAGUGAAAGAGAGAAUUUUGUGAGGGUGGAGGAGUGAAAGAGAUAAUUUUGAUGUGUGCUGUGGGGUGGAGAAGUGGGGUGUGACUGAUGGAAGAGUAAAAAGGGAAAGUUAAAAGUGAAUUAGGGUUUAGAAAAAAUAAAAUUAAAAGUUAAAUGGUAAAACUAAAAAUUAUUGGGUAUUUUUGAAAUAUAAAAUAAUUGGGGAGGUGUAGAGAAGAGUGUAUGUUAGGAAGUAUGUCAAACGGAUUUGGAAAAAGUAGGAUGGGGGUGGGGGCGGCACCAGAGAGUGAAAAUGAGAUGGGUAUUUUUUUAAUUAAAAUUUUUUUGAGGAAGUUUGAGGAGGUACAAGGAGCAUUGAUGGGGUGGAGGCAGUAACACCCAAAAGUUAGUCAUUUGGGUUAAAACAUGUGAUUCACAAAUGUAUAUGAACACAAACACAAUACAAAUACGAGAUUAGUGCUAUGAAAAUGGGUUGUAAUAUGUGGACUAACUGGGUUCAUUAUGAGUUUGAAUCGGGUUGGAUUUGAAAAAAUGUAAUUUUUGGGUGCUGCUCCCUCCACCACCACAACCUUCUUCAUGGACCUGCCCAAUUUAUUUAUUUUCCACAAAUAUCCUUAAAUUAUUUUUUUUUUUUACUUAUAUCUUUAACUUUUUAUAUUUUUAAUUAAAAACCCUAUUUCUUUAUUCUCAUUUUCUAGCAGCACAGCACACUCGUUCCCCUCUUCUCCUUCUCUUUCUCGUUUCCAUCACCCACCCUCACACCCAUCCCACCCUUUUCUCCUUCUCUUUCAGCAAAAAAAUUGUUAAAAAGGGAAAAUAAUGUGGAAUUUGAAAUAGAGAAAAAGAUAGAGAUACAAUAUGAUUUUGUUCC
rnacentral:lncRNA from 1 species